AUUAUUGGACUUGGAUAUUUUAAAUAAUGUCCGACCGAACUUUCGGUUUCGGUUUCGGUUUCGGCCGAGUUUCGGCCAAAAAUCAAGUUUCGGCUGCAGUUUCGUUUUCGGCCAAAAUCGGCCGAAACUUUUGCCGAAACCGAAACUUAUCUCGCAAGGUCACGCACGUUCGCUUAACUUCGUUUUCCGCGGCAAAGCUGUGUCGUAAGCCGUCGGCUCUGUUCGGGAAUCAUCGUGUGCCGUUCGGAUAGCUCCGUAGUGAUGCAAUAAAACUUAGUCAGUGCGUGUGCGUGCAACGGAAACAUUAUUUGGAGGUUAUGUUUUGAUGGAACUGAUAACAUAGUAAAAUGUCACAACGAGAAAAAAAUCCGAUUUGGCAGUACUUUGAUAAAAGUAUCAGUAUACAUCAAAAGCUGUUUGCAAGAUAUGUAACAAGUGCUAUUCAUUAGGAAGCCACGAAGCAAAAAAACAAACAUCACAUGGACUGUAGUUGCAUUUAUCAAAAUUUCAUGACCAGGAAUACAGGCAAGUACAAAAACGUGUCUCAGAAUUGAAUGAUUUCAAAAGUGAAGCAAAAUUGAAGCAAACAGACUCGAGUGCAUCGUUGAAAAAAUCGAGCGCAGAUCAGUCAACUCUUGUUCAGACAACUAUCUUAAGUUUGACUUCUAAACCUAAAGUUGCACUAUGGCCUGAUGAUCAUGAAAUUACAAAAAGGAUUGACAAAACUAUAACAAUUACUUAUUUGAUUAUAUUGUCAAUUGAAAAACAUUUUGCUAUGAGAACUUACUUUGAAAAGAUACGACGCCGACACAGCAUUGAACCACGACUUCUUCUGGACCGACCCCAUGCCGUGUGACCUUGCCAACAUGCUGGCCCAACACACACAGA
rnacentral:misc_RNA from 1 species